rnacentral:misc_RNA from 1 species
AAAGUCGUAACAAGGUCUCCGUAGGUGAACCUGCGGAGGGAUCAUUACUGAAUGGCCUCUGGCCUUUGUACCUUGAAAACCUGUGGAAGCAAAAUGUGCUUCGGCGCUUCGGCGUCGCUUUUAUGCUGAAAUUUGUUUGUGUCUGAAUCGAACAAAAAAUUUAAAACUUUCAACAAAGGAUCUCUUGGCUCUC